rnacentral:rRNA from 1 species
AUUGAACGCUGGCGGCAGGCCUAACACAUGCAAGUCGAGCGGAGCGGCGGACGGGCGAGUGAUGCCUAGGAAUCUGCCUGGCCGUGGGGGAAAACGUCCGGAAACGGGCGCUAAAACCGCUAACUAUCAGACGAGCAUGGGUCGGAUUAGCUAGCUGGUGGGGUAAAGGCCCACCAAGGCGACGAUCCGUAGCUGGUCUGAGAGGAUGAUCAGUCACACUGGAACUGAGACACGGCCCAGACUCCUACGGGAGGCAGCAGUGGGGAAUAUUGGACAAUGGGCGAAAGCCUGAUCCAGCCAUGCCGCGUGUGUGAAGAAGGUCUUCGGAUUGUAAAGCACUUUAAGUUGGGAGGCGUUACCAGCAGAAUAAGCACCGGCUAACUUCGUGCCAGCAGCCGCGGUAAUUC